rnacentral:rRNA from 1 species
CAGUCGCCGCGGUAAUACGUAUGUCACAAGCGUUAUCCGGAUUUAUUGGGCGUAAAGCGCGUCUAGGUGGUUAUGUAAGUCUGAUGUGAAAAUGCAGGGCUCAACCCUGUAUUGCGUUGGAAACUGUGUAACUAGAGUACUGGAGAGGUAAGCGGAACUACAAGUGUAGAGGUGAAAUUCGUAGAUAUUUGUAGGAAUGCCGAUGGGGAAGCCAGCUUACUGGACAGGUACUGACGCUGAAGCGCGAAAGCGUGGGUAGCAAACAGGAUUAGAUACCCCAGUAGUCCCUGUCUCUUAUACA